rnacentral:sRNA from 1 species
CUUUAAAAAUCUGGAUCAAGCUGAAAAUUGAAACGACACACUGUUUAAGUGUGUUCGAGUCUCUCAAAUUUUCGCGACACGAAGAUGUUUUACGAAACAUCUUCGG